AGGACGAACGCUGGCGGCGCGCUUAACACAUGCAAGUCGAGCGAGAACCGGUCCUUCGGGACCGGGGAAAGCGGCGAACGGGUGAGUAACACGUGGGUAAUCAACCCUUGGUACCGGGAUAGCCCGAGGAAACUCGGAUUAAUACCGGAUGGCCCAACAGUCUUUUCGGGGCGGUUGGGAAAGGUAGCUUCGGCCUCCGACCGAGGACGAGCCCGCGGCGGAUUAGCUUGUUGGUGGGGUAACGGCCUACCAAGGCGACGAUCCGUAGCUGGUCUGAGAGGACGAUCAGCCACACUGGGACUGAGACACGGCCCAGACUCCUACGGGAGGCAGCAGUGGGGAAUCUCGCACAAUGGGCGAAAGCCUGAUGCAGCGACGCCGCGUGAGGGAAGAAGGCUUUCGGGUUGUAAACCUCUUUCAGGAGGGACGAAGCUACUCGGGUUAAUAGCCCAGAGGGUGACGGUACCUCCAGAAGAAGCCCCGGCUAACUACGUGCCAGCAGCCGC
rnacentral:rRNA from 1 species